GAAAGAGCAGCCUGCACAAAAGGAGAAAACAAUGCUUUCACAGGAAGUUUUCAGCCUUCAAACAUCCCUAGAAACGGGAAGCAACAGCUAAGACACAGAUAAAGUCAAUGGAAGUGCUGCAGACACAAGCAUGACAAUCCAAUUCUGUGCACAAAAAAAUGAAGGAAAAAACACCAUCUGAAAGUCUCAUAAGCACUUAAGCAAGGGCUAUUUACAACAUCUACAAACACACCAAAGCUCUA